rnacentral:rRNA from 1 species
UACGUAGGGUGCAAGCGUUGUCCGGAAUUAUUGGGCGUAAAGAGCUCGUAGGCGGUCUGUCGCGUCGGACGUGAAAACCCAGGGCUCAACCCUGGGCCUGCGUUCGAUACGGGCAGACUAGAGUUCGGUAGGGGAGACUGGAAUUCCUGGUGUAGCGGUGAAAUGCGCAGAUAUCGGGAAGAACACCCGUGGCGAAGGCGGCUCUCUGGGACGGUACUGGACGCUGAGACGCGAAAGCGUGGGGAGCGAACAGG